AACGAACGCUGGCGGCAUGCCUAACACAUGCAAGUCGAACGAGACCUUCGGGUCUAGUGGCGCACGGGUGCGUAACGCGUGGGAACCUGCCCUUAGGUUCGGAAUACCUCCCCGAAAGGGGUGCUAAUACCGGAUAAUGUCUUCGGACCAAAGAUUUAUCGCCUUUGGAUGGGCCCGCGUUGGAUUAGCUAGUUGGUAGGGUAAAAGCCUACCAAGGCGACGAUCCAUAGCUGGUCUGAGAGGAUGAUCAGCCACACUGGGACUGAGACACGGCCCAGACUCCUACGGGAGGCAGCAGUGGGGAAUAUUGGACAAUGGGCGAAAGCCUGAUCCAGCAAUGCCGCGUGAGUGAUGAAGGCCGUAGGGUUGUAAAGCUCUUUUACCCGGGAUGAUAAUGACAGUACCGGGAGAAUAAGCUCCGGCUAACUCCGUG
rnacentral:rRNA from 1 species